UACGUAGGGAGCAAGCGUUGUCCGGAUUUACUGGGUGUAAAGGGUGCGUAGGCGGUUUGGCAAGUCAGAAGUGAAAUCCAUGGGCUUAACCCGUGAACUGCUUUUGAAACUGUCAGACUUGAGUGAAGUAGAGGUAGGCGGAAUUCCCGGUGUAGCGGUGAAAUGCGUAGAGAUCGGGAGGAACACCAGUGGCGAAGGCGGCCUACUGGGCUUUAACUGACGCUGAGGCACGAAAGCAUGGGUAGCAAACAGG
rnacentral:rRNA from 1 species